CCUGGGGCAGUGGCACAUGCCUGUAGUCCCAGCUACUUGGGAGGCUGAAGCAGGAGGAUAGCUUAAGUUCAGGAGUUCUGGGAUGUAGUGCACUAUGCUGAUAGAGUGUCUGCGCUAAGUUCAGCAUCAACAUGGUGACCUCCCAGGAGCAGGGGACCACCAGGCUGCCUAAGGAGGUAUGAACUGGCCGAGAUCAGAAACGGAGCACAUAAAAACUUGCAUCUUGAUCAGUAGUGGGAUUGCGCCUACAAAUAGCCACUGCACUGCAGACUGGGCAACAUAGUGAGACCUUGUCUCUU
rfam:Gorilla gorilla gorilla genomic chromosome, chrX, whole genome shotgun sequence